GUAGGUGGCAAGCGUUGUCCGGGAAUUAUUGGGGCGUAAAGCGCGCGCAGGCGGUCCUUUAAGGUCUGAUGUGAAAGCCCACGGGCUCAACCGUGGAGGGUCAUUGGAAACUGGGGGACUUGAGUACAGAAGAGGAAAGCGGAAUUCCACGUGUAGCGGUGAAAUGCGUAGAGAUGUGGAGGAACACCAGUGGCGAAGGCGGCUUUCUGGUCUGUAACUGACGCUGAGGCGCGAAAGCGUGGGGAGCAAACAGGAUUAGAUACCCUGGUAGUCCACGCCGUAAACGAUGAGUGCUAAGUGCUAGGGGGUUUCCGCCCCUUAGUGCUGCAGCUAACGCAUUAAGCACUCCGCCUGGGGAGUACGGCCGCAAAGGCUG
rnacentral:rRNA from 1 species